rnacentral:lncRNA from 1 species
UCAUCUCAACUUACUUUCAUUAACAACUGAGGUGACCGCUUAUGUAAGAAAGCCGGUCAUAACCUGAGGACAUAUAUUUUAAUAAUCAUAUAUGUGUAAUCAUGCCAAUUAGUAUUUUAUGAGAAUAAAUCAAAAUAAUUUUAUCACAUAAAGAAUUUAUUAAGUACAAGUUUCCUCAUAUUUUCUUUCUCAUCGAUCAGCACAGAUUCUUCUUUAUCUUUCUCACAUUUAUCUCCACUCUCUUCCUCUUUUGUAGCUACUUUAUUCUUCAUUUUUCAUCUUCACAUCUUAUCUUCUUCUUCUGUCAAAACCAAAUUUUCAAGUAUUUUUUGAAUCUUCACUCUAAUUUCUUUUGUCUCAUACAUAGCUCUACUUAAUUUUUGGGGUCAUCCAACAUUUUCUCAUUCCCCAUCUUUAUUUUUUCAGUUCUUAAACAAAAAAGUAUUUGAAAUCACUGUCUGCAGAUCUGUACCUGCUCCUGAAACAAGCAUGAGGGAAGGGUCAAGAAAGCAGUCUUUCCUCGAGGAAGCGACACCGUAUGAGCUUUUGAAGGAGCAAGGCUGCAAGUUCUUCUGGUGACUAAUCUCCCAUCGCUAGCCAAAACCCCAACCGGUGGCCAAAACAAGCAACCCGGGAGUGGAAAUAAAAAGAAGAAAUAUUUUUAAUUCAAUUAGGUUUCAUCCAAAUAUAGUAGAGACUGAAAGAUUAUAUAAAUAUAUAUUAAUUUUAGCAUAUUUUAUUCUCUUAAACGGCUCCCAAGUGAGCAAGUUGGAUCUUGAUCUCCGGUCCUGUAUAGUCUUUAGUUUCUUUUUUUCUUUUUCUUUUUUCCCAACUUAAAAGCAUGUGGGUAAGAGUUGUGGGGUUCUUGAAUCUGAGAGUAUAGCCUGGCCAUUUAAGUGUUUGCUGCACUUGUUCUUUAAAUAACGGAAAAUACAUGAAUUCAAAGCAAAUGAAAUUUUAAUGUACAAUUUUAUUUCCUUGUUACGGAGAAGACAUAACAAGAAAGUAAUUGGAGACGAGAGCGUGUAAUUAUGGUAAUAUUAUUUACCUUAAAAUUUUAUUGCUAACUUGUAAAUCAUAUUUAUUUAAAAAUUUAAUCGUAGUUAUGGAGAUUAAUCAAAUCAGUUUUAUAUUAUUUUUCAUUAUUUCAACUUUUUAAUUACAAUUAUGACUUAAAUGUUUA